UGGAUUGACUGCAUGAGUAAAANGGCCUUCGGGUUGUAAAGCUCUUUUGUUAGGGAAGAACGGGUACCGGUUAAUAUCCUGGGCCCUUGACGGUACCUAAAGAAUAAGCCCCGGCUAACUUCGUGCCAGCAGCCGCGGUAAUACGUAGGGUGCAAGCGUUAAUCGGAAUUACUGGGCGUAAAGCGCGCGCAGGCGGUUUUGUAAGUCUGAUGUGAAAUCCCCGGGCUCAACCUGGGAAUUGCAUUGGAAACUGCGUGACUUGAGUCCGGAAGAGGGGGGUGGAAUUCCCCGUGUAGCGGUGAAAUGCGUAGAUAUGUGGAGGAACACCGGUGGCGAAGGCAACCUCCUGGACUGAUACUGACGCUGAUGCGCGAAA
rnacentral:rRNA from 1 species